UACGGAGGGAGCUAGCGUUGUUCGGAAUUACUGGGCGUAAAGCGCACGUAGGCGGCGACACAAGUCAGAGGUGAAAGCCCGGGGCUCAACCCCGGACUGCCUUUGUAAACUAGGUUGCUAGAAUCUUGGAGAGGUCGAGUGGGAAUUCCGAGUGUAGAGGUGAAAUUCGUAGAUAUUCGGAAGAACACCAGUGGCGAAGGCGACUGACUGGACAAGUAUUGACGCUGAGGUGCGAAAGCGUGGGGAGCAAACAGG
rnacentral:rRNA from 1 species